GAGUUUGAUCGUGGCUCAGAUUGAACGCUGGCGGCAUGCCUUACACAUGCAAGUCGAACGGCAGCAUGAUCUAGCUUGCUAGAUUGAUGGCGAGUGGCGAACGGGUGAGUAAUACAUCGGAACGUGCCCUGUAGUGGGGGAUAACUAGUCGAAAGAUUAGCUAAUACCGCAUACGACCUGAGGGUGAAAGUGGGGGACCGCAAGGCCUCAUGCUAUAGGAGCGGCCGAUGUCUGAUUAGCUAGUUGGUGGGGUAAAGGCCCACCAAGGCGACGAUCAGUAGCUGGUCUGAGAGGACGAUCAGCCACACUGGGACUGAGACACGGCCCAGACUCCUACGGGAGGCAGCAGUGGGGAAUUUUGGACAAUGGGCGAAAGCCUGAUUCAGCAAAUGCCGCGUGUGUGAAGAAGGCCUCGGUUGUAAGUA
rnacentral:rRNA from 1 species